UUAUUAAAUUAACUUUAUACUCCGACGUAAGAAUGCAGUGUUUUGAUGACCUCCGGGGGGAAUGCCGCGCGAACGGCAGGGUCGCCCCCGAAGCAACAAGAUGUGUUCACAAAGGGUUGGAGGUCGGGAUUGCUCCCUCACUCGGUAAUGAUCCCUCCGCAGGUUCACCUACGGAGA
rnacentral:misc_RNA from 1 species